rnacentral:rRNA from 1 species
UCGGGAAUUUUGGGCAAUGGGCGAAAGCCUGACCCAGCAACGCCGCGUGAAGGAUGAAAUCUUUCGGGAUGUAAACUUCGGAAGAAUAGGAAGAAUAAAAUGACGGUACUAUUUUAAGGUCCGGCUAACUACGUGCCAGCAGCCGCGGUAAUACGUAGGGACCAAGCGUUGUUCGGAUUUACUGGGCGUAAAGGGCGCGUAGGCGGCGUAAUAAGUCACUUGUGAAAUCUCCGGGCUUAACUCGGAGCGGCCAAGUGAUACUGUUAGGCUAGAGUGCAGAAAGGGCAAUCGGAAUUCUUGGUGUAGCGGUGAAAUGCGUAGAUAUCAAGAGGAACACCUGAGGUGAAGACGGGUUGCUGGGCUGACACUGACGCUGAGGCGCGAAAGCCAGGGGAGCAAACGGGAUUAGAUACCCCCGUAGUCCCUGAGCGGGCUGGCAAGGCGCAU